GAUGAACGCUGGCGGCGUGCCUAAUACAUGCAAGUCGAGCGGUAAGGCCUCUUCGGAGGUACACGAGCGGCGGACGGCUGAGUAACGCGUAGGGACAUACCCCAAAGUGAGGGAUAACUGCUCGAAAGAGUAGCUAAUACCGCAUGUGCUCUAAGGAGUAAAGCUUCGGCGCUUUGGGAAUGGCCUGCGUAUGAUUCGCUUGUUGGUGAGGUAACGGAUCACCAAGGCGACGAUCAUUAGCUGGUCUGAGAGGAUGAUCAGCCAGAGUGGGACUGAGACCCGGCCCAGACUCCUACGGGAGGCAGCAGUAGGGAAUUUUCCACAAUGGGCAAAAGCCUGAUGGAGCAACGCCGCGUGCAGGAUGAAGGCCUUCGGGUUGUAAAAUGCUUUUCUAUGCGAAGAUUAUGACGGUAACAUAGGAAUAAGGAUCGGCUAACUCCGUGCCAGCAGCCGCGGUAA
rnacentral:rRNA from 1 species